rnacentral:lncRNA from 1 species
CCCACCACACGCGUGGUGUUAGGAAUCUCACCCUGUUGGUACAGCUUCGCCAAACCAAAAUCUCCAACCCUUCCUCGCAUAUCAGAAUCCAACAAUAUAUUACUCGAUUUAAUGUCUCUGUGAAUCACCACCUGGUCCCAACCAUGGUGAAGAUAGUUCAACCCCUCAGCCACAUCUACAAGGAUACGACGUCGUUGCUCCCAUCCUAGCUCCUUCUCUGGUUGAUCAAAGACCCAUUUAUUGAGGCUCCCAUUUGGCAUGUAAUCAUAAACAAGCAUGAGUUGAAUCCCUUUUCUGCACCAACCACGCAUUU